rnacentral:rRNA from 1 species
UACAGAGGUCCCAAGCGUUGUUCGGAUUCACUGGGCGUAAAGGGUGCGUAGGUGGCCAGGUAAGUUUGAUGUGAAAUCUCUGAGCUUAACUCAGAACGGCCAAGUGAUACUGCAGUGCUAGAGUGUGGAAGGGGCAAUCGGAAUUCUUGGUGUAGCGGUGAAAUGCGUAGAUAUCAAGAGGAACACCUGAGGUGAAGACGGGUUGCUGGGCCAACACUGACGCUGAGGCACGAAAGCGUGGGGAGCAAACAGG